GGGGUGUGUGGCUUGAAAGUCUGGCCUGCCCACUGAUUGGAUAAAAGUUUUUAAGGGCCGCGGUAUUAUGACCGUGCAAAGGUAGCAUAAUCAUUAGGUUUUUAAAUGGAAUCUUGUAUGAAUGGUCGAACAAAAGAAAAACUGUCUUUAAAAUAAUAUUUGAAUUUAACUUUUAAGUGAGAAGGCUUAAAUAUAUUAGAGGGACGAUAAGACCCUAUAAAGCUUUAUAUUGUGGUUGAAUUUAAUUGAAUUUUAAUAAUAAGAAUUUAGUUUAAUUGUUUUAUUAUGUUGGGGCGACAAAAGUAAAAGUUGUAAUAACUGCUAGUAAGGAAGACAAUUAUAAGUGGGUUAACGGGGUAAAAGAUCCUAUGUUUAGAUUAUAAGAUUAAGUUACUUUAGGGAUAACAGUGUAAUUUUUUUCGAGAGUUCAUAUCGAAAAAAAAGUUUGCAACCUCGAUGUUGAAUUAAGAUAUCUGUAUAAUGUAGAUGUUAUACAAGAAGGUCUGUUCGACCUUUAAAUUUUUACAUGAUCUGAGUUCAACCCGGGAGAUCUGAGUCUCCAAGACCGAACUACUUGAAUCUUGAGUCUAAAGCACGGAACCGGGUUUUAAUA
rnacentral:rRNA from 1 species